GCGGAGAUGCCGGAGUGGUCAAACGGAUCACGUUUAGGCCGUGAUGGCUUAGUGCCUACGAAGGUUCGAAUCCUUCUCUCCGCA
rnacentral:tRNA from 1 species